GGGAAAACAAGGCUGGAAUCCGAGAAGCAGGGUCCGUGGUUUAAAACGCAAGGCAAGGCAAGACUUGAGACUUGGCAAGGUUCAUCUUGUAACAAGGCAAUCGUGGAACAAGAACUGAGUCCAUAGAAAUCCGUGGAACAAGGCAGGGCGGGAAACUUGGUUCAGGAGCUGGGAACUGGGGUACGAAGUCUACACACGAUCUCACUCCACGAGCUGACGAAUUGACUCCGCAAGGAAUCCUUUGUGGCCAAACAUCUAUAUAGGAUCUUGUUUUCCCGCCAAAGCACACUUUCCCUGGGGAACAAGAACCGAAACCUAUACUGUCCAGAUGCAGGACUCCUUAAACUUUCCCAAGGGAAACAGACUUAAUCAUCUAAUUGUCUGGCAGCUAUCCGGGCGCUUCGGCGAGUCGCCUCCCGAGCGCGUCUAUCUUGAUUAUAAUAAAGGCGGCGAGAAAAUGGGGGAGAUUUCUGCUCAAGGCUUGUUUGGCUGACUUCUUGUGGGCAAACAUCCUGCAGCUGCAAGGGCUCCGAAUCUGGCAGAAACGGUGGGAAACCCAAGUUUUCCUCUUCAUCUGUCACAACAGUACUAGGAACGGGACUACAUGGCCCAUGAGUCAUCACAAUUAUAGAACUCCAAUAUGCCGAUGACAACGUAGUCUGUGCGCAUUCAGAAGAAGACCUACAAGCCAUUCUAAACAUACGAGAAGCUCGGCCUCUCAUUGAACAUCGAGAAAACCAAAGUGCUCUUCCAACAGGCACCAGCUAAUCCCUCUGCAAAGCCAGGAAUACAGCUUAAUGGUGUCACAUUAGAAAACAUUGACCAUUUCGCUCCCUUGGCAGCCAGGAUUAGCUGGUGCCUGUUGGAAGAGCACUGUGGUUUUCUCGAUGAGAGGCCGAGCUUCUCGUUUGCUUCUGCGAAGGCGUUUAGAGUGGCUUGUAGGUCUUCUUCUGAGUGCGCACAGACUACGUUGUCAUCGGCAUAUUGGAGUUCUAUAACAGAUGUUGUGGUGACCUUGGUUUUGGCUCUCAGUCUGCUGAGGUUAAAUAGUUUGCCAUCUGUCUGAUAGAUGAUUUCCACUCCGAUGGGAAGCUUCCCAUCAACAAGGUGAAGUAUCAUAGCGAUGAAGAUGGAAAAUAAGGUCGGGGCAAGAACACAUCCCUGCUU
rnacentral:lncRNA from 1 species